rnacentral:rRNA from 2 species
CGCAUGCUAUAAUGCAAGUCGAGCGAACAGAUGAGAAGCUUGCUUCUCUGAUGUUAGCGGCGGACGGGUGAGUAACACGUGGGUAACCUACCUAUAAGACUGGGAUAACUCCGGGAAACCGGGGCUAAUACCGGAUAAUAUAUUGAACCGCAUGGUUCAAUGUUGAAAGACGGUUUCGGCUGUCACUUAUAGAUGGACCCGCGCCGUAUUAGCUAGUUGGUAAGGUAACGGCUUACCAAGGCAACGAUACGUAGCCGACCUGAGAGGGUGAUCGGCCACACUGGAACUGAGACACGGUCCAGACUCCUACGGGAGGCAGCAGUAGGGAAUCUUCCGCAAUGGGCGAAAGCCUGACGGAGCAACGCCGCGUGAGUGAUGAAGGUCUUAGGAUCGUAAAACUCUGUUGUUAGGGAAGAACAAAUUUGUUAGUAACUGAACAAGUCUUGACGGUACCUAACCAGAAAGCCACGGCUAACUACGUGCCAGCAGCCGCGGUAAUACGUAGGUGGCAAGCGUUAUCCGGAAUUAUUGGGCGUAAAGCGCGCGUAGGCGGUUUCUUAAGUCUGAUGUGAAAGCCCACGGCUCAACCGUGGAGGGUCAUUGGAAACUGGGGAACUUGAGUGCAGAAGAGGAGAGUGGAAUUCCAUGUGUAGCGGUGAAAUGCGCAGAGAUAUGGAGGAACACCAGUGGCGAAGGCGGCUCUCUGGUCUGUAACUGACGCUGAUGUGCGAAAGCGUGGGGAUCAAACAGGAUUAGAUACCCUGGUAGUCCACGCCGUAAACGAUGAGUGCUAAGUGUUAGGGGGUUUCCGCCCCUUAGUGCUGCAGCUAACGCAUUAAGCACUCCGCCUG